GACGAACGCUGGCGGCGUGCCUAAUACAUGCAAGUCGAACGAAGUGGCGAACGGGUGAGUAACGCGUAAUCAACCUGCCCUUCAGAGGGGGACAACAGUUGGAAACGACUGAUAAUACCGCAUACUGAAGGAGGGGAUUGCGUCUGAUUAGCUAGUUGGCUGGGUAACGCCCCACCAAGGCGAUGAUCAGUAGGCGGUCUGAGAGGAUGAACGGCCACCUCGGGACGUAGACACGGCCCAGACGCCUACGGGAGGCAGCAGUGGGGAAUCUUCCGCAAUGGACGAAAGUCUGACGGAGCAACGCCGCGGGAGUGAUGACGGCCUUCGGGUUGUAAAGCUCUGUUAAUCGGGACGCGGUACCGGAAUAGAAAGCCACGGCUAACUACGUGCCAGCAGCCGCGGUAAUUC
rnacentral:rRNA from 1 species